rnacentral:tRNA from 1 species
GAGGGUAUAGCUCAGUGGUAGAGCACAUGCCUAGCAUGCACAAGGUUCUGGGUUCAAUCCCCAGUACCUCCA